rfam:Salmo salar isolate Sally breed double haploid chromosome ssa18, whole genome shotgun sequence.
AAUGCACCAAUUUGUAAGUCGCUCUGGAUAAGAGCGUCUGCUAAAUGUCAUAAA